rnacentral:rRNA from 1 species
GGCGGCAGGCCUAACACAUGCAAGUCGAGCGGUAACAUUUCUAGCUUGCUAGAAGAUGACGAGCGGCGGACGGGUGAGUAACGCGUAGAAAUCUACCUAGUAGUGGGGGAUAGCCCAGAGAAAUUUGGAUUAAUACCGCAUACGCCCUACGGGGGAAAGCGGGGGAUCUUCGGACCUCGUGCUAUUAGAUGAGUCUGCGUCGGAUUAGCUUGUUGGUGAGGUAAUGGCUCACCAAGGCGACGAUCCGUAGCUGGUCUGAGAGGAUGACCAGCCACACUGGAACUGAGACACGGUCCAGACUCCUACGGGAGGCAGCAGUGGGGAAUAUUGCACAAUGGGCGCAAGCCUGAUGCAGCCAUGCCGCGUGUGUGAAGAAGGCCUUAGGGUUGUAAAGCACUUUCAGCAGUGAGGAAAGGGGUGUCGUUAAUAGCGCCAUCCUGUGACGUUAACUGCAGAAGAAGGACCAGCUAACUCCGUG